rnacentral:rRNA from 1 species
CUGGCGGCAUGCCUUACACAUGCAAGUCGAACGGCAGCACGGGAGCAAUCCUGGUGGCGAGUGGCGAACGGGUGAGUAAUGCAUCGGAACGUGUCCUGUAGUGGGGGAUAGCCCGGCGAAAGCCGGAUUAAUACCGCAUACGACCUGAGGGUGAAAGCGGGGGAUCUUCGGACCUCGCGCUAUAGGAGCGGCCGAUGUCAGAUUAGGUAGUUGGUGGGGUAAAGGCCUACCAAGCCGACGAUCUGUAGCUGGUCUGAGAGGACGACCAGCCACACUGGGACUGAGACACGGCCCAGACUCCUACGGGAGGCAGCAGUGGGGAAUUUUGGACAAUGGGCGCAAGCCUGAUCCAGCCAUGCCGCGUGCAGGAAGAAGGCCUUCGGGUUGUAAACUGCUUUUGUCAGGGAAGAAAUCCUCUGGGUUAAUACCUCGGAGGGAUGACGGUACCUGAAGAAUAAGCACCGGCUAACUACGUGCCAGCAGCCGCGGUAAUACGUAGGGUGCGAGCGUUAAUCGGAAU